rnacentral:rRNA from 1 species
GACGAACGCUGGCGGCGUGCUUAACACAUGCAAGUCGAACGGAGUGGCGAACGGGUGUGUAACGUGGGAACAACCCGCCCUUCAGAGGGGAACAACAGUUGGCAACGACUGCUAAUACAUAAUAGUGUAGGUAGGGAGUGAGUGUGUUUAGCUCGUGGGCGGGGUAACGGCCCACCAAGGCGAGGAUCAGUAGCUGGUCUGAGAGGAUGACCGGCCACAUUGGGAUGUGGACACGGCCCAGCCUCCUACGGGAGGCAGCAGUGGGGAAUUUUCGCCAAUGGGCGAAAGCCUGAUAGAGCACGGCCGCGUGUAUGAAGAGGGCCUUCGGGUUGUAAAGUACUUUUAGUCGGGAGCGUUACCGGAAUAGAAAGCCACGGCUAACUACGUGCCAGCCGCCGCGGUAAUUC